rnacentral:lncRNA from 1 species
GAAAUAAUCCCUCCCAAAUCAAGAUCUCUCGAUCAGUCGACCCCCAUUCUCAGGCAGUUCAGAGUCGACCUACUUCUAUUUUCAUAUCUGAAAUCGCAAGAAAUAGGGAUCAAACUAUUCUGCAUUUCUAUAAUUUUAUUUGAUUUCUUCUAGAGUUCUUAGUUCUACAUCCAGUUCUUCGAUUCUUCUACAAAGGUAAUAUUAAAUAGGUAAUUACUAUUAUUUGAUUCAUUUCAUUUCAUUUACUUAUUUUUAUAUGAUUACUAAAUAUUACAUUAUAAAUCUAAGUAAUUGAACUAGAUAAUGAUAUUAUUUUCAACGUAUAGCAGACAUCCCAAUGCAAUUCUGCAAAUUUGAAACAUUUGGUUCCGAUUCCAAGUUUGCACUCAACUACUUGGAUUCACAAAGGAUCUUAAGUGUAUUACCAUAUUUGAUUUUCUAUAGAAUUCUUGAUAUCUUCUAACUGCUUGAUGACAUCUUUCAAUAGCAUUCUUUCAUUUGAUGAAUUCAUGGAGCAAUUCAGACCAAUCCUUAUAAUUGAUACCAAGAUAUCAUAGAUUCUUCUUUCUCCCAAUCCAUCUUCUUCUUCUUGUCGUUGCAAUAGAUAUGGAUCUGCUACCUUUAAGAUUCCGUAAGGAAAAUGUGAUACUAUGUAUUCAUGGAGAGUCGUUCCUUCACCGAAAUCUUUGCUAGUCGGACUUUUACAUGUGAAAAUCUCCAGCAAAAGUAUUCCAUAGCUGUAAACAUCCCAUAGCGUGGACAAUCUGCUCCCCAUUCCGCAUUCUGCAUCACAGUUCAUUUAGAAUUGUUUAGCUAUUAAUCUCUAACGGAUUGACUAUAUUUAGCACAGGAUGAUUACCAGGGGCGAUGUAUCCAAUGGAGCCUUGGAUGGCAGUGGUUAACGUUUGAUCUUGAUCCGUCGAGAGGAAUUUUGCUAUUCCAAAGUCACUGACACGAGCGACCAUGUCGACAUCUAGAAGAAUAUUGCUAGGCUUCAGAUCACAAUGCACAAUUGUUGUCUCGGUCUGUGUGUGAAGAUAAUCAAGCGCGGUUGCAACAUCGAUCGCUAUGUUUAGUCUCUGCACCAAACUCAAACCAUCAUCUUGAGGUUCUACUUUCUUGAGCCAUCUGUCUAAGCUUCCAUUUGGCAUAUAUUCGUAAACCAAUGCCUUGAAUUCAUUUUGAUUCAGAUCCUCAGAUGAACAUACCGUUAACACUCUGAGAAGAUUUCGAUGCCGAACAUUUCUUAAAAUUUUGCAUUCGGCCAUGAAACUCUUGGAUAUUGUACGAAAUUUCUCGUCCAAUACCUACAAAUAAUUAGUGAUUUCUAUGAUAUUCAAAUCCAAGUAUUCAAUGAAAUCUAAGAGAUGGAAUAUAAGCUACCUUCACAGCAACAUCUAUCGUGCUUCUUGAUUGAUCAUUUAUAGUCAUUAUUCCUUUGUAAACACUGCCAAAUCCCCCAGAUCCGAUCAAAUUUUCAGGAGAGAACUUUCUAGUAGCCUUUUGGAUCUCAGCAUACGAGAUUUGGAUGAACUGAUUUUCCAUCCACGAGUCUCUAUCGGGUAUAGGUGACAUAUCCGUCCUUGUUCUAUCAUUCCUCAUUGGUGACAUCUUGUACUUAUAAACUAGAAAUACACUGAUGAAGGAUGAAACUGCGACUACAACCACUGUGAUAAUGACGGCGAUGUUUCUUUUAGAUAGUUGUCGAUGAUGUUGAUGAUCUGUGAACAAUUUUUCAUUUCCUUCAAUGGAAAAUAAACUGGCAUUGUUGAAAAUACCUUGGGUCGGCACUUUGCCUUCAAGAUCAUUAUUGGAAAGAUUGACAUACUGAAGCAAAGUCAUCUUCUCCAAGUAGGAAGGAAUCUUACCGGAAAGAUGAUUCUCCGAAAGAUCGAGAAAAUGAAGAACUUUAAGAUUCUGAAGCUGAUCUGGUAUUGUUCCGUUAAAAUUAUUUCCUUGAAGUUCGAGUGAUUCAAGCAUCACACAAUUUUCGAUACUCUUUGGAAUUUCACCAUGGAAUCUAUUGUGAGAUGCAUCAAAUCUCAUAACAUUUCUUAAGCUUUCAAACUCAUCUGGAAGAACUCCGAUGAGAUUAUUGUGUGAAAUACGAAGAAAUUUUGCAAUUGUCGGUAUCCUGAAGAGACCUUUGGGUACAACUCCACUUAGAUUAUUGUUUGAAAGAUCCAAGGCUAAUAAUUUUUUCAUGGCGCCUAAAUUUGAAGGUAUGGUUCCUGAUAGCUCAUUCCCACCCAUGUAGAGUUCGAGCAGCUCGGUAAGAUUUUCGAAGGAAUCUGGGAUUGUUCCAGAGAGCUUGUUUUUGGCAAUAGCAAAAAUUUUUAGAUUCUUAAGUUUUCCUAUGCUCUCUGGAAUGGAUCCAGUGAAUUGAUUAAUCUCCAUGUUCAAUGUGGCUAGACUACUCAGCUGUCCUAUCAUUGCUGGAAUUUCUCCCUUGAUAUUGUUAUUCCCCAGAGUCAACGACUCCAACGACAUUGCCGAUAGCUUCGUUAUUGAUUCCGGUAGGAACCCAGUGAAAUUGUUAUUCCACAGAUCAACACUUUUCAGGUAAGAGCAGUUGGUUAAAGAAUCGAUAAAUCUCCAAUCAUCAGUUGAAAAUAGAUUGCUGUCCAAAAGCAACUUAGAGAGAUUAGGAAGACGACUUCCAAGAUUUGAUGGAAUUGAACCAGUGAACAUAUUGCCGCUGAGCUCUAUAUCCUCCAAUUUUGACAUAUAAGAUAGAGAUAUUGGAAUUUCUCCGUUGAACUUGUUGAGGUAUAAUAAAAGAUGACGAAGUUGAGGAAGGUUCUGCCCGAAAUCAGGAGGAAGUGUUCCAGUGAGAUGAUUACCUCCGACACCAAACAUGUAAAGAGACGAGAAGUUGAAAAGAGAUAGAGGAAUUUGACCAGAUAAACGAUUAGAAAGAAGAUCGAGAAUUUCUAGAUUGGUGCAGUAACUUAUCUGGGAUGGAAUGUGGCCAACCAGGUUGUUUUGUGAGAGGUAAAGUUUGCGAAGAGUGGUAAUGUUGCCGAUGGAUGGUGGAAUUUCUCCGGUGAGGUUGGUUGUUUCUAAAUCCAAGUAUUUCAGAUUUUGGAGCGAGCCCAAUUCUGAUGGGAUGCUGCUGGUUAAGUUAUUGUUCCAAAGAAUCAGCGACUGCAAUUUGGUUCCCCCAGUGAAGUUUCUGGGAAUCUCACCAUGGAUCUUGUUGUGACUAAGUGUAAGGAGUUGGAGUUCCGGCAAGUUCGUAAAGAGAGCCUCAGGGAUUGUUCCUUGGAGGAAAUUUGAGGUGAGAUUUAUGGUUCUGAGACGACGUAGGUUGGCAAUCUCCGAGGGAAUAUGACCGUGUAGAUUGUUGUGUCCAAGGUUUAUCUCACGAAGGAAUGAGAGGUUGGAGAUACAAGGUGAGAUUUUACCGGUGAGGCCGAAUGAUGGCAGCACUAAAGAUGUCACCCGGUUCGGAUGGAGAGGAGCAUCACAGUUGACGCCGAACCAGUGGCAGGUUUCAGUGGAUUCGUUCCAUGAAGUGAAGAUGUAAGCUUUGUCUUUGGCAGUGGUGAUGUAGGAUUUGAAUGAAAGAAGCCCAGCACGGUCGACACCAUUUGUUUUUCCUGUCACAAUAUCUCCUAGGAUUAUAAGAAGCUGAAUAGAUAAUAAGAACCUCAUUCGUUCGAGCUUGCAGUGAGUGAUUUGGAGAGUAAGUUUGUAUUUCCGAUGUGUGAUGGACAUGUUUUUAAACUAGAUUCCCUUCAGAACUUCAGGAUUCAACAUUUUGAAAAAUAUUGAUGUACUACAUCCGUGAUGUGAUGUGAUGUGGUGUUAGUGGUGAUGCACUAAAAAAUCACAAGUGGUGACGUGGAAAAGAGGAUAACUUAGUCAACAAAGAAACAAGUGUUUCGUCCGUGAGUAUCAUUGUCGGUUACACAUUGCUUUGUUAAAUUCCAACAAUAGCACCACUUACGCGUUAUGAGUUAAAAUCUACAACACAAUAGAACUCAUACGUUAGUCGUUACAGACUUACUGUAGUUAAAUAAGCAAAAAGUAAUUAAAAUAAAAUGUUAAAAAAUAUGAGUUAGAAAUUAGAAUGUACGUAUGGAAUUAUGAAUGUAUGAUUAGAUAAGUUUACACGAUUCGAUUAGUCCAAUCGGUCAUAUACUCACACAAGUCGGUCAAAAGUCGGUCAAUUAAUUCUCUGUUUUUUAUUAGUAUAAAGAAGUAUUUAAUAACUAAUAGUCUAGUUAUGGUGAAAAUUAGGAUUUUAAGGUGAACAAAAUUGGAAAUGAAAAUUACAUUUAGUUGAAUUGGUUUGGAACUUUAGAUUAAUAUCUUAUUAAUUACAAUUUGGAAAAUUACAUUACACGUUUUCUUCAAUUUCGACAUUGUCUUAUUAAUAUCUCUUUAUUAAUAUAGCAUUCCUGAUAUCUUCUAACUGCUUGAUGGCAUCUUUCAAUAGCAUUCUUUCAUUUUGUGAAUCCAUGGAGCAAUUCAGACCAACCCUUAUAAUUGAUACCAAGAUAUCGUAGAUUCUUCUUUUUCCCAAUCCAUCUUCUUCUUCUUGUCGUUGCAAUAGAUAUGGAUCUGCUACCUUUAAGAUUCCGUAAGGAAAAUGUUUCUCUACGUAUUGAUGGAGAGUCGUUCCUUCACCGAAAUCUUUGCUAGUCGGACUUUUACAUGUGAAAAUCUCUAACACAAGUAUUCCGUAGCUGUAAACAUCCCAUAGCGUGGACAAUCUUCUACCCAUUCCGCAUUCUGCAUCACAGUUCAUUUAGAAUUGUUUAGCGAUUAAUCUCUGCCGGAUUGACUAUAUUUAGCACAGGAUGAUUACCCGGGGCGAUGUAUCCAAUGGAGCCUUGGAUGGCAGUGGUUAACGUUUGAUCUUGAUCCGUCGAGAGGAAUUUUGCUAUUCCAAAGUCACUGACACGAGCAACCAUGUCGACAUCUAGAAGAAUAUUGCUAGGCUUCAGAUCACAAUGCACAAUUGUUGUCUCGGUCUGUGUGUGAAGAUAAUCAAGCACGGUUGCAACAUCAAUCGCUAUGUUUAGUCUCUGCACCAAACUCAACCCAUCAUCUUGAGGUUCUUCCUCUUUCUUGAGCCAUCUGUCUAAGCUUCCAUUUGGCAUAUAUUCGUAAACCAAUGCCUUGAAUUCAUUUUGAUUUGGAUCCUCAGAUGAACAUACCGUUAACACUCUGAGAAGAUUUCGAUGGCGGACAUUUCUUAAAAUUUUGCAUUCGGCCAUGAAACUCUUGGAUAUUGUACGAAAUUUUUCGUCCAAUACCUGCGUAUAUACAUACAUAUGAUGAAUUAGCGAUCGUUUAUUGUCAUUAUAAAAUCCAAUAUAUACUCUGGAUUAAAUAUAGCAUAUGAAAUUUGAGCCACCUUCACAGCGAUAUCUAUUAUGUUUUUUGGUUGAACAUUUACCAUCAGUGUUCCUUUGUAAACUCUCCCAAAUCCCCCAGUUCCAAUCAUAUUUUCCUUGGAGAAAUCACCAGUAGCCUUUUGGAUCUCAGCAUACGAGAUUUGGAUGAAUUGGUUUUCCCUCCAUGAAUCUUUAUUUGGUUGAGAUAUCAUGUUGAUACUUGUUUUCUCUUUUCUCUUCGCCGAUACAAUGAACUUGUAUAACAUAAACACACCGAUGGUGCACAAAAUUGUUAUAAUAAUGACAACAGCAAUGACGAUCUUGUUUCGCUUGGAUAAUUUUCGAUGUUGUUGUUGUUGAUGAUGAUCAUCUGUGAAUAGUUUUUGGUUUCCUUUGAUGGAAAAUGAAUCAUUAUUCCUAAAAAUGCCUUGUGUCAGUACUUUACCUUCAAGAUGAUUGUAAGAAAGAUUGAGAUGCUGAAGCAAAAUCAUCUUCUCGAAAUAUAAAGGAAUCGAACCCGAAAGAUGAUUCUCAGAAAGAUCUAGAAUGCGAAGACCUUUGAGAUUUUGAAGCCCUUCGGGUAUUGGUCCGUUGAACUCAUUUCCUUGAAGCAUGAGUGAUUCUAGAAUCGUACAACUUCCAAUGCUCUCCGGAAUUCUAGCAUGGAAUUUGUUGUGUGAUGCAUCAAAUCUAAUAAGAUUCCUUAAGUUUUGAACCUCAUCGGGCAGAACACCGUUGAGAUUGUUGUGUGAAAUCUGGAAAUAUUUAGCAAAGGUUGAUAUCCUAAAGAGACCCUUGGGCACAAUUCCAGUCAGAUUGUUGUAAGAGAGAUCCAAAGCAAUCAAUUUAUUCAUGGUGGCAAAGUUUGAAGGUAUGGUUCCGUUGAGCUCAUUCCCUCCCAGCAAGAGCUCGAUCAUUUCAGUAAGAUUUCCAAAUGAAUUUGGGAUUGUACCGGAGAGCAUGUUACCGGCUAAAUUCAUAUAUCCCAGAUUCCUAAGAUUUCCUAUACUCUCAGGAAUGGAUCCUGUGAAGUUAUUAUUCUCCAUGCCUAGUGUGCUCAGACUACUCAAAUCUCCCAUCCUCAUAGGAAUCUCUCCCAUGAUCUUGUUGUUCCCCAUAGCCAACCAUUUCAAUGUUUUAGCUGAGAGCUUCGUUAUCGAUUCCGGCAGGAAUCCAGUGAAUUUGUUGUUAAACAAAUCGAGCCGUUUUAAACGGGAACAGUUGACUAAGGAAUCAACGAAUCUCCAAUCAUCAGUUGAAAAUAAAUUGUUGUCGAGAAGCAACUUGGAGAGAUUAGGAAGACUGCUGCCAAGGUUUGAAGGGAUUGAACCAGUGAGACCAUUGUGGCUGAGCUCUAAUUUCUCCAAUUUUGGCAUGUCAGAUAGAGACAUUGGAAUCCGACCGCUAAAUCUGUUGUUGUAUAAUAAAAGAAAACGAAGUUGAGGAAGAUUCUGCCCUAAAUCAGGGGGGAGUGUUCCAGUGAGAAGAUUAGAUCCAACACCAAAUCCGUAAAGAGAUGAGAAGUUGAAAAGAGAUGGUGGGAUUUGACCAGAUAAACGAUUGAACACCAGGUCAAGGAAUUUAAGUUUGAUGCAGUAGCUGAUCUGAAAUGGAAUACCGCCGACCAAGUUGUUUUUUGAGAGGAAGAUGCUUCGAAGAGUAGUAAUGUUGCCGAUGGAUGGUGGGAUUUCUCCGGUGAGAUUGUUCGUUCCAAAAUCCAAGACUUCCAGAGUAUGGAGUGAGCUUAAAUCCAAUGGGAUGCCACCGACAAGUUUAUUAUCCCAUAAAGUUAGUGUCUGCAAUUUGAUCCCUCCCGUGAAGUUUCGAGGAAUCUCACCGUGAAGUUGGUUGUGACUGAGUGUAAUGUGUUGAAGUUCCUUAAGGUCCGUGAAGAGAGCCUCAGGGAUCUCCCCUUGAAGGGAGUUUGAAGUGAGGUUGAGAUUCUUUAGGCGAUGGAGAUUGGCAAUCUCUGAAGGAAUACCACCAUGGAGAUUGUUGUACCCUAGAUUUAUCUUAUGGAGAAAUGAGAGGUUGAAGAGAUAAGGUGAGAUUGUGCCGGUGAGGUCGGAGGAUGGUAAAACCAACGCCGUCACCCGAUCCGGAUGGAGAGGAGCAUCGCAGCUGACGCCGAACCAGUUGCAGAUUCCAACGGAGUCAUUCCAUGAUGUGAAAAUGUAAGGCUCGUCUUUAGCAGUGGUGAUGUAGGAUUUGAAUGAGAGAAGACCGGCACGGUCGAUGCUAGAGAUGGCCUCGCCGGUCGUGAAGCUUCUUACUAGUAGCAGAAGAAGCUGAACUGAAAGUAAGAACGUCGCUGACAUGAUUUGAGGUUUAAACAUUUGGUACGUUCUUCUUUAGAACACUACUAAUAAGAAAAUGACAUGUUGACUAUUUGAUAGACGUGUGAAGUUGGUUGUCUCCAAGAUUCAACAUUUGAUGGACGUAUAUUUUCAAAAUGUUGACUUCUUUUUGUCUUUUUUGGUAGUUUGGUCAAAAAUAUGACUAUUUUAAUUAUUUAUUUAGAUUCCUUUUUGACCAGAAAAUUCAUGUCAUAUAUUACCCUUAAUGGCUUAAUUAGUAAUUACACUUCUUCAGUUCUCUCAUUUAAAUAUAGGAUUAUUAUUACUUAUAUCCCUAAAUAAUAAUAUAAUAUAGCUAGGGGAGUAAGGUUUACUGUGGAUAGGGUAAUACACUAAUACCUGACCUGAACUUAUGGCAUUGUAUGAGUGAGAUUUUAGAUUUUUCUACUCAAGCAGUUUUUAUCGGACCUGAACUCUAUUUUACCCGAUCAAAUCGGUUAUGACAGAUAGGGUAUGUACAAAACUUUUUACCCACUUGAUUUACUCGACGAGGGUUAUUUGUAAAUAAAUCCUUAUAUUAUAUUUUAAUACUAGAAAAGUUAUAAAAAUAUUAAUAAAUAAUAUACAUAAAAUUAAAUAUUUAAAACUUAAACCUUAAAAUUAUAAAAAACUCACAAUUAAAAUAAAUUUAUAAUACAUGUAUUUAUUAUAACACCUUAUAGUUUUCUUAGAACACAUUGAUUUUAUUUAUUCACACACAUCGAUGAGAUAUAAAAAGUGUAAUUAAUGUUAACUUAUAAAUAAAGAUUCAAUUUAUUAAAAAUAUGAGGUAUUGAUUGUGAAAGGAGUUUAUAUUAAAAAUAUUAUGAUUGUUUUCAUGAACCAAUUUUAAAAAAUUUGACCACAAGUAAUAUAACCACAAAAAUUAUAAUAGGUGAUAUAAUAUGUGGUUUUGGUGUACACUCGGAAGUAGGUUUUUAUGUUAUAAAAAAACUACUGCUAAUACAUAGUCAGAGGUUCUAUUAUUCGUUUUAAAUAUUUGUAUUUCAUACAAAGUUCUUACAUAUUCCAUCCUUGAUAUCAUUCAAUUUCUUGACGACAUCUUUCAUUAGCAUUCUUUCAUUUGGCGAAUCCAUAGAGCAAUCGAGCCCAAUCCUCAUAAUUGAUGCCAAGGUAUCAUAGAUUCCUCUUUCUCUCAAUCCACUCUGUUG